GAUCUCUUGGCAAAUAGGAAAUAUAAUAUUCAUGGUCAUGUUUUCAUUAGUGUGUAAUAACCUGAAAUUAAGAAUCAUUGGGUUUGCAUCACCUUUAACAUGACCCCUUUGUAUGUAUGUCAGAGAGAGGGUCCUCUUCAGGAGUCCGCCGUGUUGGACCUUACGUGUCUCUACUGUAGCCCAGAACAGACAUUAGACAUUAUCAAUCAAAAGAAAACUGGCCAAUCAUCAUUUUUAGGAAUUCAUUUCUCCGUCGCUGUUCAUCAGGUCACAAACCUUCUUCCUCAACCACUGGCCUGAAGUGACCGUGCCAAUACAGUCUUCUCAACGCAACAUGCUGCUUGCCAUCUUUCUGCUGUUCUUGUCCUCUGAGAGCACAGUGAAAUGUCAGACUACACCCCAGCCUUCACACAGUACUACCUGGACUACGGUGACAAAUGUGGCUGGUUUUACAGAAAAAUUAUCUCCUCUGCAAUUGGUGGCCACGCCUUUCUACCCAGUUGUGGCAGGUCAAACAGUCAACCUGCACUGCAGUGCUCUCACCACGCCGGCCUCCGUCAUUUGGUCCUGGCAACGCCUAGAAAAUCUGGCCUGGCGAGAGGUGGGCCGCGUUAAUAACCUGACCCUCACCGAGCCAUGGCAAAGCGGGCCGUACCGCUGCAGCGCUGAGACCAGGUUUUCUCAGAGUGUGAGCUAUACCAUCACAGUCUUAAUCAUCGCCACGCAGCCAACAGUGUCCACAGAGCUUUAUUGUGUCUGCGUCGCCACCAAGUGGCAACCCACCAUGAUGUCACCCACUGGUCUGUGAGAUGGCCAGUUUUGAUCCUCGAGUUGAGUGUUUUGGCCAGCGCCAUAUUGGUUCUUUGAAACCAGAGGUGACCACAUUUGGAGGAGCUCGUCCACUGCACGUUCCAAUUACACCUGCUACCUGCACCCAUUGGAUGGUACUAGCUGUCAAUCACACGGUACCCAUGCCCCACUGCAUAUGGUGCAUCCUACUCUUAAUGGGACCAGGAUUCAAAAAAACUAACAUCAUGCUGUAUUGAAGAAGACUUGAAACUAGACAUUCUAGACACACAUAAACACUAAUCAAAACGUUUUCCCCACUUUUUAUAGGUGGUCAAAUGUCAACGUUGGGAUACCAGCAUGUUUCUACAUGCUCUUUAGCGGCUCGGCAAUCAGUUACUCUGGUUCGGUUGGUAAAUAGUCUCGUUUUGACAGAGGGGAAACUUUACAGCCCUCAGGAGGACAAACCAUGUUAUUCUGAAUGACCUGAAGCAUACCUUCUGCAUAUAAAGUAUUGAAAUUUGUAAUUCUUAUCAACUAAUGAACAGAUAUAAUACAAAUGAUAGGAUACAAAUAUGUGUAUCAAACCAAUUUUAUUUUUGACAGUUUUUGUCAUGCACAAAGACGGAACACAUUCUUUCCUACAUGUUUAUCCAUCUUCUGUGACACACAUCUAAAUCCUUUCACCGGCGAUUCUGUGCUGUUUCCCCAACUAACAAUAGUGGGUGAGAAGAUAGGAAUAGCGGCCCUCGUUCUGUCUCUCCUGGCCUUGAUCGUCGCCCUCACCAUUCUGUGUUUGCUGGUCUGGCAAAGAUUUGGUGACACUCGGGCCACCUGUAACACUGCAGCUAAAGCUUCUCCUGGACCUGGAAAGGCACCAAAGGGAUGUUUACCACAGACUCAAUGCCACGGAGAUGUGUACAUGAAUUACACCAGCACCAACCAAGCCUACAGUGAUCUGGACCCCACCAACAGAACAGAGGAUAGUGUGUACUCAAGUCUGUCAUGAACACACAUGGGAAGGAGGAGACGUGCAUUACAAAGAGGAAGAAGGCAGAGUUUACCAUAUGAUGUGGAGAUUGUCACUGUGCUUUAUCUCACAGUGUGUACUUUGUUUGAUGUUAAAAUAAAUAAUAAUUCAGUUGGUGAACACGAUCUGGGUGUGGUUCCCACCAAUCGAUAAGAAACCCUUCAUUUGCCAUCUGCUAUUAAAACCUGUAAAUUGUUCAAGUUUUCUGACUGAA